GACGAACGCUGGCGGCGUGCUUAACACAUGCAAGUCGAACGGGUCUGCCCUGUUUUUUGCGGGGUGGGUCAGUGGCGAACGGGUGAGUAACACGUGAGUAACCUGCCCCUCACUUCUGGAUAACCGCUUGAAAGGGUGGCUAAUACGGGGUGUUCUGGCUGUGCCGCAUGGUGUGGCUGGGAAAGAUUCACUUUUGUGGUGUUUUGGUGGGGGAUGGGCUCGCGGCCUAUCAGCUUGGUGGGGGGGUGAUGGCCUGCCAAGGCUUUGACGGGUAGCCGGCCUGGGAGGGUGGGCGGUCACACUGGGACUGAGAUACGGCCCAGACUCCUGCGGGAGGCAGCAGUGGGGGGUAUUGCACAAUGGGCGGAAGCCUGAUGCAGCGACGUCGCGGGAGGGAUGGAGGCCUGCGGGUUGUGAACCUCUUUCGCCGGUGAAGAAGGUCCUGCUCUUUGUGGUGGGGUUGACGGUAGCCGGGUUAUGAAGCGCCGGCUAACUACGUG
rnacentral:rRNA from 1 species